UGGCUGGGCACCGCGGCUGCAUCCUCUUCUUCGUGGCAUGGCACAGUAAUUGCAGGUUCAUCAGUCAGGUGGUCAGCACCCAAACUAAAACCAUACGUCAUGGUGGCCAGGAAUUGCAUCCCAGCAGCACAGAUGGGGGAGCCAACAUGAAGAGGUGUCCAGAGAGGCUUCUUCCUCUUUGGCUUUGCAGCAGCACCAGGACCUCACCAUCAGUGAUGCUGUUCAUCCAUCGGGCCUACCCUUACAUUCCUCCCCUGAUGCACUGAUCACCUGUACCAGUUGUUGGAGUUUUCAGAAGGGCUCUAAAUUAACUUUUUUUAUUCACUAGUAGCCAAAAUGGCUAGUAUGUUAAUCUCCAAACAUACCAGUACAUUAAAUAAUGGGUCAAUGGGCCAAGUAUGUUUUCUUUUCUACCAGCAAAACUUAAUUUUCCCCAGCAUUUGGCUGGUGAGCCCUGGUUGUCAUUGAUGGUGAGUAGCUGUGAUAAUAAAUAACUGAAAUGAUGAAGUCCAUCCAGACAUGUCUUGCUUAUUUUAUUGUACUAAUACAACAACGUAGAACAUUUUCUGUGAAAGCCCAACUGGGAAACUCCAACUCCCAUUGACAUUGUGACACAGCACACAAGUGUUCACUGCACGAAAUUGCAUUUAUGCUUCACCCGUGCAAGGGGGCAGCCCCCAAUGGCGCCCCAAGGGAGCAGUGUGGCGGUACCAUGCUCAGGGUAUCUCAGUCAUGGAGGAGGAUGGGGGAGAGCACUGAUUACUUAACUCCCCCCACCAACCUGGUGGGUCGGGAGUCCAACCGGCAACCUUUGGGAUACAAGGCUGACACUCUAACCACUUACCCAUGACCGCCUGUCAAUCUUCA